rnacentral:lncRNA from 1 species
AUGCAAAUCCCUUUGGGGCAGGUCAUUUGCAUCUGGAAUCAGACUCCCCAAGCAAUCCUCACCGAGCUCAGGGCUGCGGGGCUCCCUGCCCCCCCAAAUCCCCCUUGUCUGAAUGAAGCAGAGAGGCAUCAGGUGAGGUCAUUUCUUCCCAUUUCCCAACAUGGGCAAUGCCCUCCCCAUAGGUGGGCUGUAGGCUCAGGGAACCAAGGGGAGGGAGACCAGUGUGGAUGCAUUCACAGAAUGUUCUUUUGGUUUCUAGCCAAGAUUGCGGCAGCUGUGUUAGGAGGAGCCUGCCCGUGGUGGCUGUGCCCACGGUGUUGGGCUCUAUGGGCUUCCCCCGGCAGGAAUCGCCACCUCCUUGCUGGUGGCCAAGAUGAAGUCCUCAGCUGCCAUUGCCAACGGGGGUGGAGUCGCCACUGGCAGCCUGGUGGCUACGCUGCAAUCCGUGGGAGCGGCUGGCCUCUCACUGUCAUCCAAGGUCAUCCUGAGCAUCGCUGGAUCUGUCCUCAUGUCCCGCAUGGUGGGUUUGUACUAGUUUUCCACCUCUCCACCUGCAGAGAAGAGGGCCAGGUGGAGCCCCGCCCACCAGGCAGAUGCAGGGAGGGACCAGUCCCUGGGUGACACUGUACCCCUGGAGGAAAAUAAAGAAUAAAUAUUGUUGUUGCA